rnacentral:RNase_P_RNA from 1 species
AGCGCAGGCCGCCUUAUCGCUGUGUACUAGGGCAUAGCUCAGUACAUGGAGGAAAGUCCGGACACCACAGGGAGGCAUAUCGGUUAACGGCCGACCCUUGUAGCACGUGCUACAGGGAGGACAAGUGCAACAGAAAGUAUGUACAGGUUAAGCUGUAGUGAAAUCAGGUAAACUCUAUGCGGUGAAAUGCCAUGUAUACCUGCGCCUGAGGGCGUCCCGCCCAAGCAGGAGGGUAGGCAGAUAGAGGUGUUUGGUAACAAACACUCCAGAUAAAUGAUAAGGUCGUGAACUGAGCUUGCUCUGGUUUACGGACAGAAUCCGGCUUACAGGCCUGCUUCCUUU